UACGUAGGGGGCAAGCGUUGUCCGGAUUUAUUGGGCGUAAAGAGCGUGUAGGCGGCCAUGUAGGUCCGUUGUGAAAACUCGAGGCUCAACCUCGAGACGCCGAUGGAAACCAUAUGGCUAGAGUCCGGAAGAGGAGAGUGGAAUUCCCGGUGUAGCGGUGAAAUGCGCAGAUAUCGGGAAGAACACCCGUGGCGAAGGCGGCACUCUGGGACGGUACUGACGCUGAGACGCGAAAGCGUGGGGAGCGAACAGG
rnacentral:rRNA from 1 species